UACAGAGGGGGCCAGUGUUAUUCGGAAUUAUUGGGCGUAAAGGGCGCGUAGGCGGCUUUGCGUGUCUUUCGUGAAAUCCCUCGGCUCAACUGAGGACGUGCGGAAGAAACUGCAGGGCUGGAGUCCGGGAGAGGAGGGUGGAAUUCCCAGUGUAGCGGUGAAAUGCGUAGAUAUUGGGAGGAACACCGGUGGCGAAGGCGGCCCUCUGGACCGGUACUGACGCUGAUGCGCGAAAGCGUGGGGAGCGAACAGG
rnacentral:rRNA from 1 species